rnacentral:rRNA from 1 species
GACGAACGCUGGCGGCGUGCCUAACACAUGCAAGUCGAGCGGACGAAUCGAAAGCUUGCUUUUUUUUCGUUAGCGGCGCACGGGUGUGUAACACGUGUGCAACCUGCCCUGUAGACGGGGAUAACCCCGAGAAAUCGGUGCUUAUACCGGAUAACACGAAAUGUCGCAUGACGUUUCGUUGAAAGACGGCGCAAGCUGUCGCUACAGGAUGUGCCCGCGGCGCAUUAGCUAGUUGGUGGGGUAACGGCUCACCAAGGCGACGAUGCGUAGCCGACCUGAGAGGGUGAUAGGCCACACGGGAACUGAGACACGGACCAGACUCCUACGGGAGGCAGCAGUAGGGAAUAUUGCGCAAUGGGCGAAAGUCUGACGGAGCAAGGCCGCGUGAGAGAAGAAGGCCUUCGGGUCGUAAAGCUCUGUUGUUAGGGAAGAACAGGUAACGCAGUAAAUGGCGUUACAGUGACGGUACCUGACGAAAAAGCAACGGCUAACUACGUG